AACGUAGGUGGCGAGCGUUAUCCGGAAUUACUGGGCGUAAAGGGCUCGUAGGCGGUCUGUUGCGUCGGGAGUGAAAACUCAGGGCUUAACCCUGAGCCUGCUUCCGAUACGGGCAGACUAGAGGUAUGCAGGGGAGAACGGAAUUCCUGGUGUAGCGGUGAAAUGCGCAGAUAUCAGGAGGAACACCGGUGGCGAAGGCGGUUCUCUGGGCAUUACCUGACGCUGAGGAGCGAAAGUGUGGGGAGCGAACAGG
rnacentral:rRNA from 1 species